AGCGAACGCUGGCGGCAGGCCUAACACAUGCAAGUCGAACGAACUCUUCGGAGUUAGUGGCGGACGGGUGAGUAACACGUGGGGACGUGCCUUUUGGUUCGGAAUAACUCAGGGAAACUUGUGCUAAUACCGAAUGUGCCCUUCGGGGGAAAGAUUUAUCGCCAUUAGAGCGGCCCGCGUCUGAUUAGCUAGUUGGUGAGGUAACGGCUCACCAAGGCGACGAUCAGUAGCUGGUCUGAGAGGAUGACCAGCCACACUGGGACUGAGACACGGCCCAGACUCCUACGGGAGGCAGCAGUGGGGAAUCUUGCGCAAUGGGCGAAAGCCUGACGCAGCCAUGCCGCGUGAAUGAUGAAGGUCUUAGGAUUGUAAAAUUCUUUCACCGGGGACGAUAAUGACGGUACCCGGAGAAGAAGCCCCGGCUAACUUCGUG
rnacentral:rRNA from 1 species